CGCACAUUAUGUGCUGGCUAAGGUAAGUCCGACGUGCUUCUUCAGCACUGCUCCUUUUGGGGGGGCUUGGGAUUAC
rnacentral:ncRNA from 1 species